CGCCUUUUCCGACGUUCGCGCCGGGGCUCAGGCGAGGACGUCAGCUGGGACUCAGCCAAUAGCGAGCGCCCACGUCGGGAGAAUGCCUCGUGACCGCGCGUCACCGGAGAAAAGGCUUUUCUCUUUCUUCUCGCGCUUUUUUCCCCUCCCCCACGUAGGCUUCUCGGUUUGCUCAUACGAAUUCAUUUCAUUCCCGUGCCUGAAUAAAACCGCACCUUUCUCACCUGUGCUUUAAGGUUGCAAGAAAGCCCUGUGGGCCCCUCGGCAUCUCGCACGUUUCCACAUGCCAGAGCAGAUUCUGUGACUGCGAUGCCCACUGUGAGGUAUCCCUGCGACCCCGACAUGUGUGAUUCAUAGGCACCUUGGAAAGGCCUCAAAACGCGGCUGACCUAGUGAAAUUUCACCCUUAAUGAGCUGAGGCAGGACUGGUCGAGGUGGACAUUUUAACACUUAUCUCCUCUAAUGAAGUAGAAGUAACUGUUCAACACUCCAUGGCUCUUCUGCAGAGGUCCAUCUGUGCAGAGAGAGAGACAGAGUGCGAGCAGGGGAGAGGCUGAGAAAGAGGGAGACACAGAAUCUGAAGCAGGCUCUCAGGCUCCGAGCUGUCAGCACAGAACCCCAUGCGGGGCUUGAACUCACAAACCCCAAGAUCAUGACCUGAGCCGAAGUCAGAUGCUUAAUGGAAUGAGCCACCCAGGUGCCCCUUGAAGGGCCUGUGGAGAGAAGAUGUGGUUGUACCAUGCAGGAACUGGGUACUUUGGAGUCCUUUGGCUUCGUAGCAUGCCCAUUAUUCCAAUGAGGGUCUCCAGUUGUGGUUGUCUGGUUUUGAACUGCUGUUACCUGCCCUGAACCUCUCCGUGGCCAGGCUCUAAUGAAGACCAUCUUUUUCUGAUGUAUACAAAGGUACCCUUAAGGCUUGUUUUCUGAUCUAAUAGCAAAUCCUGUGUAAGCUAGCAACAGUGACGAUCCCAUUGGGUAUACAGAUUCUGACCCUGUGUCCCAGUUUCCUAGGACUGAAAAACAAUCAAAAGAGUUAUUUUGAGUGCUCACUUUGGCAGCACAUACACUAAAAUUGGACUGAUACAGAGAGAGUUAGCAUGAUUAGUGCUUGCCAGUGGCUGGGAUGGGGGUGGGUGAAAUGGGCAAAGGGAGUCAAAAAGUACAAACUUCCCAUUAUAAAAUAAAUAAGUUGGGGAUGUAAUGUACAGCAUGGUGACUAGAGCUAAUAAUACUGUAUUGCAUAUUUAAAAGUUGUUCACAAGUUAAAUCUUAAAAAUUCUCAUCAUAAGAAAAAAAAUUCUAUAACUAUGGAUGGUGCUGGAUGUUAACCUGACUUCUGUGAUCAUUUUGCGGUAUAUACAAAUAUCCAAUCAUUAUGUUGUACACUUGAAACUAAGAUAAUGUUGUGUGUCAUUUAUACCUUAAUCAUAAAAAAAAAAAAAAAGAAUUACUUUGACAGGGGAAGAUAAGUCAGUCCUUAGUCACGCAAAUAAGACUUUUGCUCUUCCCUGAAAAUGGAGUUCUUCUGCUGGAAGCCUUUUGUGCAUCUCACACAUAUGGCCUCUUCCUCCUACUAAUUUGCCAGACUUGUCUGGAUCUGUUUGAAUUGAAGUAGCAGACCCAGUUUGAGUGCAUUGCCAGAGGUCCCUCAGGCUUCUGCAAGGCCUGCCCCACCAGUUUGACAAACAUGCUCAGGCAUACUUGAACUCCACCAUGGACAAUAGAUUUCCCGCUAUACAAAUAAAGCAGGGGAGCAGGAAAAGAAAUGGUGGUCAAGGAAGGAGAAUGAAAGGGCAUGACCUGGUGCUGCUGCCUGCCUUAGGUCCUCUUUUGAUUUGCAUUUUGGUGGUUAAUUCGGCAAUAAAAAUUGCUGUACACCCACUUGCCUGCCUUUCUUCUCUCCACAUCUUAGACCAUAAACUCUUUAGGGGUCCGGCUCCUUCCUGGCUUAGGUGUAGUGUUUACCAAAAAUGCUUAGGAAACUUUUGACAAUU